rnacentral:antisense_RNA from 1 species
GACAAAAUCAUAUCUAUUGACUGGCAGAAAGGGAGAAAAUUCCACAGGAAGGGUUGGAAUAGAAUGGACGAGAGAGAGGAGAAAAGCUCUUUCGUAAACGGUUGAGUUCCAGCCGAAGGCUAAGGAGGAUCUAAUGACAGCUGCGAUCUGGAAUGGCUGCUGUUUCCGAGCCUGAUUAAUGACAGAGCUGCUUCAUUGUUCAGUCCGAGCUGAUUUUCAUUCCACAGAAGGGGAAAGCAAAUGCCCCCACGCCCAGAAAAAAUAAAAAUUACACUUCAUGGAACAAAACGGAAACACAAACUCAUCUGGAUGUUGACUUGUCUAUAUGCAACAGCAAUCACUUCCUCCUCUCCCCGCUGCCUUCCUAAAGAACAGCAGGAUUGGGAAAGGAGACGGGAAUCUUGAGACCGCGGGCCUUUCCUGGAGCCGGCCUUGGCUGAUCAGGACACACCCCCGCUAGCGCACUUGCUCCCUCCGUCUACUGCGCGCAAAACCCGAUGGAAAUAACAGGGAGCCUGGAAUAAAGCUGACCCUUUCCCGUAUCAGAGAGAAAGGCCAGGUAC